GUGUAGGGGAGGAAUCACUUCCGGGGUCGGAAGGCCGGGUGCAAGCCGGCCGUUCUGGGCAGCCUUUUUCCUCGUGCCCGGCGCCUGCUUGCGAGGGCUUGCGUGACAGCCGACCUCUCCUCCUCCCCUUCCCGCAGGGUGGAAGGACCGGCGGCGCUGUCGCCGGUGGAGCGAGGAGGCGGGCUGUGCACCGCGGGGUUUUUGGGGUGCGCCGGGAUCAGUAGAGGGACAGCUCCCGGGGGCCUUGAGAGUGGGCGGGAGUGCCGAGCCCUGCAGGUGCAGUUGUUGGAAAGGCGAUGUGUCUGUUCGGAGGCUCUCCGAGUAGAGGCUUUCUUCGAGGGCCCUGGAGCCAGUCAUCUUUACGUCUGUAUCUUGGGCGGAAUUCCACCUGCCAUCAUCCCAGCCCAUAGAAUCUUCGCUGGAGCACUUGUGCCUGUCACGGAACUCUAGUUGGUCACUUAUUUGAAACGGCUUUCUUUCUUAAACCUCCCUCCCUCGUUCCAAGAGUAUGUUUUAACUCAACUCUUUAAUCUGUAAUAACUUUGUCACAUCAUUAUUUUGUCCUUCAUGAACUCUGGAUCAGGUCUCAAAAGAUGAAAAUUACAUUGCGAGGUGUUUGGAAUUCACAUUGUUUUCAAGAAGAAAAGACAAGCGUGAAUAAAUAAAUGUUGCACCCCA